rnacentral:rRNA from 1 species
AUGACCAUAACCAAAAGCAAAGGUCAAUCCCUAAACAAGGUGGGGCUAUAUUUGCCUAAGCAAGUCUUCUUCCAUGGGCAAUUAUAUGUAGCAUUAUCAAGAGUCACAAACAGAGAAGGAUUAAAGGUGUUGAUUGACAACACGCAGUACCCAAGCGAAGUUUGGAUAAUAACCACUUUGAUAAACAUGAUUCUGAAAUCAUAUUAG